rnacentral:rRNA from 1 species
CCUACGGGUGGCUGCAGUGAGGAAUAUUGGUCAAUGGACGAGAGUCUGAACCAGCCAAGUAGCGUGAAGGAUGACUGCCCUAUGGGUUGUAAACUUCUUUUAUAUGGGAAUAAAAUGUUCCACGUGUGGGUUUUUGUAUGUACCAUAUGAAUAAGGAUAGGCUAACUCCGUGCCAGCAGCCGCGGUACUACGGAGGAUCCGAGCGUUAUCCGGAUUUCUUGGGUUUAACGGGAGCGUAGGUGGAUUGUUAAGUCAGUUGUGAAAGUUUGCGGCUCAACCGUAAAAUUGCAGUUGAAACUGGCAGUCUUGAGUACAGUAGAGGUGGGCGGAAUUCGUGGUGUAGCGGUGAAAUGCUUAGAUAUCACGAAGAACUCCGAUUGCGAAGGCAGCUCACUGGACUGCAACUGACACUGAGGCUCGAAAGUGUGGGUAUCAAACAGGAUGAGAUACCCGAGUAGUC